ensembl:lncRNA
GGAGAGGGAAAAUGGGAAGCAUGUUUCAAAAAGAGGAAGGCGCUUAUUUGGGCAGGUGUAAGACAUUAGGCUGGCUGAAUUCGCUCAGUCGUGUCUGACUCUUUGCGACCCUACAGACUAUAGUCCACCAGGCUCCUCCGUCCAUGGGAUUCUCCAGAUUUUUCUGACUUGGAGACUGGACUUUGGGGCUCUGAUGUCUUUUUCUCAAGAAGGCCUUGAGUUCCUAGAAGGUUCUGAGUCACCUCUUCCCCAGUGUCCAGCUCUGCACAUCAAUGGGAGAGACAGUUUUUGCUAAGACAAAAAAAUUAAAUAAGUGAAGACUGAGAAGGAUCCAUUGGAUUGGACUUGGAAUCAUUGUUGGGUAGACAUAUGGCUGCAGUGGUUUGAAGAGUGAAUGAAAGUAGAGACACCCUAUUUGGAUGGAUAUCACUAUGCACAGCUUACACUCAAGGAAUGAGGAGACAGGCUCCAUCUCUGUGUGAGUAGAGUAUCUACACAGAUUAUGAAGAAAUCUUCUGAACCACAGCCUUUUCUUUCCAAGUGAUAAAAUCCCAAAUAGAACCAAGGCAAAAGGAGGAUGAUGUCAGAAUUCCGGGGUAUUGCACAUGAUUGAAUGAAGAAGUACAUCACCAGAUCAAGGAUGAAGCUGUCUUUAAGAACAACCUGAACAGAAAUUGAAUGCUGCUGAGAUUCUUGUCUUUCUCUCUUCCCCUUCUAUAAGCUUUCACUUUGAACUUGUGGGAAUGGGUGGGGAGGGUAGGAGGACAGGCAGAAGAAGAAUCUGCUACACAAAAAUCAAGAACUUUUAGGGGGGAUCCAUCAAAACGAGGUUCAGAUUCAGUUUUGCAAGCUUAACUUGGGUUAUCUAACAGCUCAGAAGGGAUAAAGAUCUGCUCAAUAGUAACUCUCAGGCUUUUUGGGGUAGAAUUACAUGUAAUGAGGUAUGUAAGGCACUUAGCAUAGCAGCUGGCCUAUAGUAGCUACUCAGUACAUAGUAUUGUUAUUAUUAUAAAUUUAAGACAUUAUUUGAUGAAAGUAUUUCUUGCCUGCUAUUCAAUCAUCCCCUUAGCUGAAAAGCCAGCAUACAAAAAGUGCAAAGGUCAGCUUUAAUAGAUUUUAAGAUGCCAUUAACUAUGAGUCAUUAUUUUAUGUACUGCUGCAAAAGGAAAUAUGCUGCCAAUCUACUAUGGUUCACUUUUUUAUGACUUGAAGUUUCUAUUUUAC